rnacentral:rRNA from 1 species
UUAGUGGCGGACGGGUGAGUAACGCGUGGAUAACCUGCCGUAUACAGGGGGAUAACACUUAGAAAUAGGUGCUAAUACCGCAUAAGCGCACGGUUCCGCAUGGAACAGUGUGAAAAACUCCGGUGGUAUACGAUGGAUCCGCGUCUGAUUAGCCAGUUGGCGGGGUAACGGCCCACCAAAGCGACGAUCAGUAGCCGGCCUGAGAGGGUGAACCGGCCACAUUGGGACUGAGACACGGCCCAAACUCCUACGGGAGGCAGCAG